UCUGCCUCUCUAGAUAUUCUUCCAGAUACUCAUCCUAGAAGAAAACCAUUUUCUACUCUUAAUUCAUUCUUUUGUUAUUUAUGAAGGUCUCCUGGAGUUUCUGGCCUGCUGUUGUCUGUGCUGACUGUCCACAUGUGCCGGUUUCGUAGCGCUGUAAAUCUUGACUUUCGCCUCACUAUCACUUGGGGAUUGCCCGGUCUCUCUUUGUGGUAUGUUGUUUCCUAUAUUCCCUGUCUUUCUCUUUCUUGGUUUACUUUGUUUUGGUGGAGUGCAAUUUCUAGUACUUUCCUGAGAAAUUUGUAGCAUAACUAAACAUGUCUUUAUUUUCUACCCUCACACUUGUUUGAUAUUUUGCCAGAGUACAAAAUUCUAGUUUGGAAAUAAUUUUCUCUAUUGUCUUCUGACUCCCAGGGCUCCUGUUGCCAAAUCCUAAACCAUUUUAAUUCUUAAGUCUUUGAUUUUUUUCUCCUCUCUGGAAACUUCCAGAAUUCUUUGCUUUGUUCUAAGGUUCUAAAAUUUCAUAAUGAUAUGUUUAGAUGUACCUCUAAUUCCACUCAUUGUAUUCAGCACUUGACUUUUUUUCACAUCUCUGAUAAUCUGCUCAUAUUUGAAUUAGGAGACCAAAUAGAUGACUGGAAAUCGGUACCACUGAGGAUUUACUCAAUCGUCUCUAUAGACUAGAUUAUAUUUCGACCUACUAACAUGUACAUUAAUUGAAAACGGAAGGAAUCCUAAACUGCAUUCCUGAGAAAUAAGAUGACUCAGAUUCUUACAGAAUGGUU
rnacentral:lncRNA from 1 species